GUAAAGUACUUUCAGCAGUGAGGAAGGUGGGUAUGUUAAUAGCAUAUUCAUUUCGACGUUAGCUGCAGAAGAAGCACCGGCUAACUCCGUGCCAGCAGCCGCGGUAAUACGGAGGGUGCGAGCGUUAAUCGGAAUUACUGGGCGUAAAGCGCAUGCAGGUGGUUUGUUAAGUCAGAUGUGAAAGCCCGGGGCUCAACCUCGGAAUUGCAUUUGAAACUGGCAAACUAGAGUACUGUAGAGGGGGUAGAAUUUCAGGUGUAGCGGUGAAAUGCGUAGAGAUCUGAAGGAAUACCGGUGGCGAAGGCGGCCCCCUGGACAGAUACUGACACUCAGAUGCGAAAGCGUGGGGAGCAAACAGGAUUAGAUACCCUGGUAG
rnacentral:rRNA from 1 species